UACGUCCUACGGGAGGCAGCAGUAGGGAAUUUUCGUCAAUGGGCGCAAGCCUGAACGAGCAAUGCCGCGUGAACGAGGAAGGUCUUCGGAUCGUAAAGUUCUGUUGAAGGGGAAAAAGAGCGGAGAGAGGAAAUGGUCUCCGAUUGAUAUUACCCUUCGAGGAAGUCACGGCUAACUACGUGCCAGCAGCCGCGGUAAUACGUAGGGGGCAAGCAUUAUCCGGAUUUACUGGGUGUAAAGGGAGCGUAGACGGAAAGGCAAGUCAGAAGUGAAAGCCCAAGGCUCAACCAUGG
rnacentral:rRNA from 1 species